GCCUGGGUGGCUCAGUCGGUUGAGCGUCCGACUUCGGCUCAGGUCAUGAUCUCGCAGUUCGUGGGUUCAAGCCCCGCAUCGGGCU
rnacentral:tRNA from 1 species